AAAUUGAAGAGUUUGAUCAUGGCUCAGAUUGAACGCUGGCGGCAGGCCUAACACAUGCAAGUCGAGCGGUAGCACAGAGAGCUUGCUCUCGGGUGACGAGCGGCGGACGGGUGAGUAAUGUCUGGGAAACUGCCUGAUGGAGGGGGAUAACUACUGGAAACGGUAGCUAAUACCGCAUAACGUCGCAAGACCAAAGUGGGGGACCUUCGGGCCUCAUGCCAUCAGAUGUGCCCAGAUGGGAUUAGCUAGUAGGUGGGGUAACGGCUCACCUAGGCGACGAUCCCUAGCUGGUCUGAGAGGAUGACCAGCCACACUGGAACUGAGACACGGUCCAGACUCCUACGGGAGGCA
rnacentral:rRNA from 1 species